rnacentral:rRNA from 1 species
UACGUAGGUGGCAAGCGUUAUCCGGAAUUACUGGGCGUAAAGCGCACGCAGGCGGCGCAGCAAGUUCGACGUGAAAGCUCCCGGCUCAACUGGGAGAGGUCGUUGAAGACUGCUGUGCUUGAGGCAAUGAGAGGGAUGCGGAAUUCCAGGUGUAGCGGUGAAAUGCGUAGAUAUCUGGAGGAACACCGGUGGCGAAGGCGGCAUCCUGGACCAACACUGACACUGAUGAGCGAAAGCCAGGGGAGCAAACGGG